rfam:Mycobacterium sp. JDM601, complete genome.
AGGAAUCCGGUGCGAACCGGCGGUUCAGCGAAGCUGGGGCCGCCGCUUCAAUUCCGGAGCGGUCCCGCCACUGUGAUCGGGGGAGCGAAGCCCGCCCGAGAGCCAGACACU